GGCUCAGAACGAACGCUGGCGGCGUGCCUAACACAUGCAAGUCGUACGAGAAACACGUCCUUCGGGAUGUGGAGUAAAGUGGCGCACGGGUGAGUAACACGUGGGUAACCUGCCCUGGGGAUCGGGAUAACUGGCCGAAAGGCCCGCUAAUACCGGAUGAGACCACAUGAGCUACGGCUCAAGGGGUCAAAGUCGGCCUCUCAACGAAGCCGGCACCACAGGAUGGGCCCGCGGACCAUUAGCUAGUUGGUAGGGUAACGGCCUACCAAGGCUAAGAUGGUUAGCUGGUCUGAGAGGAUGAUCAGCCACACUGGAACUGAGAUACGGUCCAGACUCCUACGGGAGGCAGCAGUGAGGAAUAUUGCGCAAUGGAGGAAACUCUGACGCAGCAACGCCGCGUGGGUGAAGAAGGCUUUCGGGUUGUAAAGCCCUGUCAGGCGGGAAGAAACUUCCGCAGGUGAAUAGUCUGUGGAACUGACGGUACCGCCAAAGGAAGCACCGGCUAACUCCGUGCCAGCAGCCGCGGUAA
rnacentral:rRNA from 1 species